GUAUGAGGGUGAUCUGGCUAUAACAUCUGUCACCCUGCUGAUCACCAGUGUUGAUCUAGCUGAUCUGGCCCAUGAGCAAAUAUGUAUUCCUUCUUCCUUCCCGAAUAUGUAUCCUGCAUGAGGUUUCUCCAAUAAAAGAAGACCAACCUCUGUUGGUGGAGAGUAAGAGAGAGCAGUUAGAAGGUAAAGCAGCCCCGAAGCUGAACCAGGGGUAGUGAAGGGGCUCUCAGAGGCCUGUCUUACCAUCAUCAGAGGCACACCAUCAUCCCAGUUUUCUUAGGGGAAAUGA
rnacentral:sRNA from 1 species